GGCGCCGCGGCUGUGCGGAGAAGCAGUCCCUCCGCGGGCGCUGUCGGCCCUUCCCCGGCGCCGCUCUUCACCAUGCGGCAGCAGCCGCUGGCUCCCACGCCGUCCCUAAGCGUGGCUGUUCUGCGGACUCUGCCCAGCGGUAGCUAUGGGGAUACCGGGAAUGUGCCUUAAGCUACUGCGACGACAGACCUUUGGUUUUGCUUGGGAAGCAUCGUCCUUGUCAUCAGGGAUUGAGUCGCCGUAGUAACCUCCUGUGGGAGAGGCUAUGCAGGUCCCUGAGUUCCUCCUCUUACAGAGCUCUUGGGAAGGCAAUUGCUGUCCACAGACAGUAUUUCCUUUAAGAUCAGUCUUAUCUUCAUCCCUUAUAUAUUUACAAUUAUAAUAUCCUAUAGUUUUAUGCCAUUCAAUUCCAGAUGCUGCUGAGGUGCUUUGCCAACUGCAAGUUUAUCUCCUGAGUUGUCCCCUGAGGCCAGGUGCCGCAAGUAUUUGAGAGUUGAGAAAUCCAAAUCUGGAUCUUCUCAGUAAAACUCUGAUGGUACUCCUGAAGUUUCCAUUCUCCAGCCUGUAGAAGGGAAUUGAAUUAAUGAAUUGUUAGUUUUCCCUCUGUAAAGAUUUUAUUCAGUUUUUAAUUACUUGGUUAGCAAGUCUUAGUGAUUUUUUUGUGUUUCCACAAUUGUCCUUGUGCUUUAAGUCUUGGGGGUUUUUUAACAGAGAUCUUCAUUAAGCUCAAGCUGCAAGUGCUCAGCCUCUUGGGGAACCACAGCCGGCUCAUAUUUGGCUGCAGAUUUAUUAGGAAUAGUUGAAGAAGUUACUGCUCCCAGAUGUCCUACAGCUCUUCACUUGAAUGAUUGAGCACUUGAAUGAUCUCUGUAAUGCCACUUUGCAUGGUCACGCCUGAGGAGAUGAAAAUUUCUGCUGUCCUUGGGCUGGCACUGGGCACACAUGAAAACAUUUACCAGUUAUUUGGAAAACCCGGUUUCUCUGCAUCUUUUUCAAGAGUGCUUCAUCUUCAUAGCAGUAAUUACAUAGUGAUGUCAUGGACAUCAUAGAGAUGCUUCAGAGAAUGGUCGAAUGUUAUUGUUUACUUCUUAUUAUUUACCUAGUGGAUUGCAGAUACAUACAUGGCUUGUGAAACAUGUAACGACUGAUUUCUGCUCCAGAAGGCUCAGUUCUCCAGGCCUGUAUUUAUUUACCAUUAGGUGAUAUCAAAGAUGUUCACAUUUUGAGAGUUGAAUAGUAACAUUAUGCUUAAGAUUCUGGGCCAGGAAAAAUGGAAGUUUCUGUGAGGAAGGUGUUUGGACUUACAGCUGCACUUCAGAGCAGUAGCUAAGGAAGUCAUCAAAAAUCAAAGUUUAUGCUGUUGCAUUGCUCAGAAAAUGGAAUUUCUAAAAUUCAUGGCAACUUUUCACGUGUUUUUAGCUUUAUUUACCUUUCUCCUUUGCUGACUAACAGAUGACUUGAAUACUGAUGAAAACACGCCCCUUAAAUUUGCAACUCAGCAGUACAGCCUCAGGCACGUGUUAACAACUCCUUAGAAAGUAUUUCACAGUCUUUUGGUAUUUCCACAUCACUUAGCAUAGCCUUGCAUUUAUAUACAAGUUUUGUCUGAUGCUGAGUAGCCAUCAGCUUUUGUAAAAGGAAUUUAAGUAAAAUACGUCUUUAUGCUGUGGUUUGGGGUUUUUUUUUUCUUCCAGGCUGCAGCUGUUUCUCUCUGUUUUGAAGUCUAAAUGGUGAAAUCUGCUCCCAAAUAGUCAAACAGAAAUGGUACAAGAAGUUUGAAAUGAGAAUUAAUCUUACACAGCCAUAGCUGCUGCUAUUAGGACAUCUUAUAAUGCACCAAUUAUAGAAUAUGUAAAUAUUUAAUAAAAUAUUUAUUACAAAUACCAA